rnacentral:lncRNA from 1 species
AUAAAUUGUAUAUGACUGGCUUGACUAGAAUUCUUAACAAAUGUUGUACGAAAUGGAAGAAAAAAUGAAUCGAUUUUCUUAGUCGAGAUCAGGCAUGUUUCACAAACUUUUUGGCCCAUUAUUAAUCCAUCCACAACAUGUGGGACCUCAGAUGGCUAGAUCACUCACUUUCAUAGUCAUCUUCAUCACUGAAGGAGAAGACAGAAGCAUCAGCAGCAAUUGCCUUGAUUACACUUGCACUAGUUGAUUCCAAACCGUGGGCUUCCAACGUCGAGCAACUCUUGCUACUGUUUUCAUCAUAUGUCACUCUAGUAUCAGUGGUUUGAUUAACCCCUUCAUUUUUCAAUGAAACAUGUUCGAUGCCGUGGC